rnacentral:rRNA from 1 species
CCUACGGGUGGCAGCAGUGGGGAAUAUUGGGCAAUGGGCGCAAGCCUGACCCAGCAACGCCGCGUGAAGGCAGAAGGCUUUCGGGUUGUAAACUUCUUUUGUCAGGGAAGAGUAGAAGACGGUACCUGACGAAUAAGCCACGGCUAACUACGUGCCAGCAGCCGCGGUAAUACGUAGGUGGCAAGCGGUGUCCGGAUUUACUGGGUGUAAAGGGCGUGUAGCCGGGUUGACAAGUCAGAUGUGAAAUCCUGCGGCUUAACCGCAGAACUGCAUUUGAAACUGUUGAUCUUGAGUACUGGAGAGGCAGAUGGAAUUCCUAGUGUAGCGGUGAAAUGCGUAGAUAUUAGGAGGAACACCAGUUGCGAAGGCGGUCUGCCGGACAGCAACUGACGGUGAGGCGCGAAAGCGUGGGGAGCAAACAGGAUUAGAUACCCCAGUAGUC